AAGGUUAAAUGAAGCGAAUACAUAUUUUUAUCCAGUAGUAGCACAGUGGACGUCGUACAAGAAGGAUAUAUUAUAUCAAGUAUAUAAUUUUGUGGACAGUAACUUUGUAGAGUUAAUGUUUUAGAGAAAACAUGUUUUGUUUACUUCUUGCUUUGUUAUUGGCAAUAAUAUGUUUGUACAACUAUAAGAAAUUGAAUUAUUGGACUAACAAAGGUGUUAAACAAAAAGGAGGGUUGAAUUUAUUUGAAUUGUAUAAAAUGUUUUUUAUGACCAAAUCAUUUGCGGAUUUUUAAAAGAUACAUACAAUGAAUUUCCAACUUCAAGGUAAGUUAACGAUUAUAAUGGUCUCAUAUGUAAUGAUUUGUUUCAGAUACAGCGGUAGUUAUCAAUUUUGUAGACCCUUACUAGUAUUAAAAGAUUCCGAGUUGAUAAAGCAGAUAACAGUGAAAGACUUUUACCGAUCACGUGGACUUAGUUCCGGAAGGUACCGAACCACUUUUUACCAGUAAUUUGUUUUCUUUGAAAGGUGAUAAAUGGCGAGAUAUGCGGACACUUCGAGUCCAGCUUUUACUGGUAGUAAAAUGCGAGCAAUGUUUACUUUAAUGUCAGACUGCGCCCAAGAAGUAGCAAAAUACUUUGAAACCCAUCCUGAAGAAACCAAUUCCGUUGAAAUGAAGGAUCUAUUUACGAGGUACAUUAACGACGUCAUGGCAACUUGCGCUUUUGGAGUAUAAUGCAAUUCAUUUAAACAAAGGAAUAAUGAGUUUUAUUUGAUGGGAAAGAUGGCAACAGAUUUUACGGGUUUUUGAAGACUAUGAAAUUGAUGAUAUACAUAAUGUUACCGAAAUUGAGCAAAGUAAUAAAUAGUGAGAUAUGAGAGAAAUGCUUACAUUUUCAUUUGCAAUUAGUAAAAUCAAGAAGAAAGUAAAUCUAUUAAGUUGAAGGAUUUUUUGACAAGGUACACUAACGACGUUAAGCAAUUUGCGAUUUUAGAAUACAAAACAAUUCAACUAAACAAAGGAAAGUUGGCAACCAAAUUGUGUCACAUUGAUGAUAUUUUGCAUGAUGCCAAAAUUAUGCAAAGAGUGUAAAAUCUUAUAUUGAUUAUCGAAGAAUAGUAAAUUGGAAAGACAUGAGUCUUAAGCGUUAAUUUUCUAUUUUGUCAGUUUUGAUACUGUUUCCACAUUUAUGGUCCUAACAGCUUACAAAUCGGUUAUUAAUCCAGAUAUUCAAUAAAGAUUUCGAAAUGAAAUCGAUGAUAUUCUUGCGGAAAGAUAACUGAAUUCAUCAACAAAAUGAAAUAUUUGGAUAUGGUUAAAACUUAUCUAAGAUUUUGUUUUACGAGCUACAAUUUAUAAACUAACGUUUAAACUACUCACAAUUAAGAGAUACGUAAUCAUUUAAAGACAUAUGUUACGCCUUUGAAAAGGCGGUAUAUUAUUUCUUUUAAAACUCUGGACACCGUGAAUUGGAAUUGCGGAAUUUUAGUGGGGUUUAUGAAAAUUAUAUGCAAUAUUCUCAAAUAUUUUUAUUGUACAAGUGUUGAUCUCAUAGAUUGUUAACUAAGGGUAACAAUUUAAUCUUUUAAGUUAAUAAACUUACC